CAGCGCACUCCGGGGUCGGUGAAAGUCCGAACCGGCGGUUAUAGUCCGCGACCCGCUCGCCUCGGCGAUCGGUUGACCAGGUGGAAUUCCUGGACCGACGGUUAAAGUCCGGAUGGGAGGCAGUGCGCGG
rnacentral:ncRNA from 2 species